UACGGUGGGGGCGAGCGUUGUUCGGAAUUAUUGGGCGUAAAGGGCGCGUAGGCGGUGUGGUAAGUCUGUUGUGAAACCUCCAGGCUCAACUUGGAGCUUGCAUCAGAAACUGCCGUGCUAGAGUGUGGGAGAGGAGAGUGGAAUUCCUGGUGUAGCGGUGAAAUGCGUAGAUAUCAGGAGGAACACCGGUGGCGAAAGCGGCUCUCUGGACCACAACUGACGCUGAGGCGCGAAAGCUAGGGGAGCAAACAGG
rnacentral:rRNA from 1 species